rnacentral:rRNA from 1 species
UACGAAGGGGGCUAGCGUUGUUCGGAAUUACUGGGCGUAAAGCGCGCGAAGGCGGCCAUUCAAGUCAGGGGUGAAAGCCCAGAGCUCAACUCUGGAACUGCCCUUGAAACUGUAUGGCUUGAGUAUGAGAGAGGUGAGUGGAAUUCCCAGUGUAGAGGUGAAAUUCGUAGAUAUUGGGAAGAACACCGGUGGCGAAGGCGGCUCACUGGCUCAUUACUGACGCUCAGGCGCGACAGCGUGGGGAGCAAACAGG